CUGGGAAUGAGAGGAUGUGCUGCUGGAGGACUGAGUACAAGUGUUAUCAGACACCAGUAGGAAGGAAGAUCCUGUGUGCUGUGUAGGGGUCCUGCCACCUCGGGAAGUCUUUCAGGAUCUCCUGGCCCUCAUCCACCUUCAGGGAAUCCUGUUUACUGUCAGUUAAGAUUAUGCUAUGCAGAUUGGUUCUUAGAACACCAUCAAUGGUAGACAAAGCUUUUUCUCUACAAUAUUGUUUUCAAGUUUUAUGAUCUCUCAUUUUCUUACAUGGCUAAAGCAACUUAACAACCUCUUCACUGCAUUCUAAGCUUCUCUUUGCUGUAUUCCCCAGUGCAAAAUAAAUUCUCUAAAUUAGUUAAGUGUCAAAGUCUUAACAGAAAGAUGUUUGUAAAUAUGGAUACAAGGCUACUGGCAACAUGAUGGGAAAACAAAUCUUUCUAAUUACAGCAUCAAAGAGAAUGUGUGGCCAGAAUUCACUAACAAACACAUCUCAAAACAAAACUAUUCCUCACAAAAUCAGAUCCCGUUUUCCUUCUUUGGUUAAACUUACCGUGCACUGUGUGAGGUGGAGUAGUCUACUAGAAAAGUGUGUGAGUCUGCAUGUAGGAUUAGUCUCUGUUAGACGGGUGUAUGGAGCAUGAAUGUAUUAUCAAUAGCAUAGGAGUGGCUACCCCAGGCUAUGCCCCUCCCUAGCCUGGUGCAUGCAAACAUACACAUACACCCACCCACCAAGAGGGAAGUCCUUAAAACAGAACUUCUUUGACAUAAUGUUUACACUAUUCCAUUCAAUGAUAAACCUAUAUGCUGCAUUGUUUAUAAGGCAAUGUGUUUAAUUAAUCAAAUGUUAUUCACUUGUUUGGUAUGGUAGUGUGCUAUUGACUCUUGUUUUAUUUGCUUUGAUGAAACUGCAAAAUAAUGUUAAAGAAAUCAUUCUUAGGGCUUGUUUACUCUUGGAAAUUUACUGAUAUAGCUAUUUCAGAAUUAAUACUCUGGAAUAAUUUCUCAUGUGGACACUUAUUUUAGAAUAAGCAUUUGGUGACUGAAAGUGGACUUUGAAAGUGGAUUAAGCGAAAUCUGAAGAAGGCAAUUCUAUUCCAGAAUAAGAGUGUAUUCACACAAGAAAGCUUAUGCUCCACUAUGUCUGUUAGUCUAUAAGGUGCCACAGGACUCUUUGCUGCUUUUACAGAUCCAGACUAACAUGGCUACCCCUCUGAUACUUGUACCAGAAUAACUCCCUAUGUGUCAACUGUUAUUGAGCUCUAUCUACAUCAGGGUGAAUCUUGCCCAUUUUAAUUAAACUCAUAUCUUUUAUGAACACUCAUUUAUUUAAUUUGCCUGAAAGUGUCUGUCCCUCAAGAUUUAAGUACUGGGACAGAAUGUAAAAUACGUAUCCUGUGCAAAACAACUAUAAUGACAAUGCUGGUCUAAGCCAGCCUGGAUCUAUAUAACAAAUCAGUCCCCACCCAGACAAUCGCAUUUGAACAAAAAAUACUCCACCCUUUCCAAAAGCAAGAGCAACCCCAUUCCUCUCAAUCCUCCGUGUAUGCCUCAGAGAGCAGAAGGGCUACUAGAAUUUACAUCAGCAACAAUUUCUGUAUUCUCUAGACAUUGGAUACUUUUUGAAACUUGAACAUUUGAUGGGUGAAUGUAAUUUUCUCAGAAUAAAAAUAUGUAAAAAGAUAUCUCGGAAUGUUUUUCCUAUAUGUGCGUUUGCUGUUUCUUUAAUUUUGGACUGUGACAGGGUGCUGUGAGCAGUUAUAAAUAGAGUUCCUUUUGGGAGCCAGCACCCUGGUCACUUAGAACACACAGGACACUGGGUGUAGUUAGAGUAGGAAGGUAUUAAGUAGUUUGAUUGAGUUAGGAAGAUCAGAUCUACAUAGGGAUCAAAACAAAACAAAACUGUGAUUA